rnacentral:rRNA from 1 species
GUUCACUUUAACACUGAGGCGUGAUGACGAGGCACUACGGUGCUGAAGCAACAAAUGCCCUGCUUCCAGGAAAAGCCUCUAAGCAUCAGGUAACAUCAAAUCGUACCCCAAACCGACACAGGUGGUCAGGUAGAGAAUACCAAGGCGCUUGAGAGAACUCGGGUGAAGGAACUAGGCAAAAUGGUGCCGUAACUUCGGGAGAAGGCACGCUGACACGUAGGUGAAGUGAUUUACUCAUGGAGCUGAAGUCAGUCGAAGAUACCAGCUGGCUGCAACUGUUUAUUAAAAACACAGCACUGUGCAAACACGAAAGUGGACGUAUACGGUGUGACGCCUGCCCGGUGCCGGAAGGUUAAUUGAUGGGGUCAGCGCAAGCGAAGCUCCUGAUCGAAGCCCCGGUAAACGGCGGCCGUAACUAUAACGGUCCUAAGGUAGCGAAAUUCCUUGUCGGGUAAGUUCCGACCUGCACGAAUGGCGUAAUGAUGGCCAGGCUGUCUCCACCCGAGACUCAGUGAAAUUGAACUCGCUGUGAAGAUGCAGUGUACCCGCGGCAAGACGGAAAGACCCCGUGAACCUUUACUAUAGCUUGACACUGAACAUUGAGCCUUGAUGUGUAGGAUAGGUGGGAGGCUUUGAAGUGUGGACGCCAGUCUGCAUGGAGCCGACCUUGAAAUACCACCCUUUAAUGUUUGAUGUUCUAACGUGGACCCGUGAUCCGGGUUGCGGACAGUGUCUGGUGGGUAGUUUGACUGGGGCGGUCUCCUCCUAAAGAGUAACGGAGGAGCACGAAGGUUGGCUAAUCCUGGUCGGACAUCAGGAGGUUAGUGCAAUGGCAUAAGCCAGCUUGACUGCGAGCGUGACGGCGCGAGCAGGUGCGAAAGCAGGUCAUAGUGAUCCGGUGGUUCUGAAUGGAAGGGCCAUCGCUCAACGGAUAAAAGGUACUCCGGGGAUAACAGGCUGAUACCGCCCAAGAGUUCAUAUCGACGGCGGUGUUUGGCACCUCGAUGUCGGCUCAUCACAUCCUGGGGCUGAAGUAGGUCCCAAGGGUAUGGCUGUUCGCCAUUUAAAGUGGUACGCGAGCUGGGUUUAGAACGUCGUGAGACAGUUCGGUCCCUAUCUGCCGUGGGCGCUGGAGAACUGAGGGGGGCUGCUCCUAGUACGAGAGGACCGGAGUGGACGCAUCACUGGUGUUCGGGUUGUCAUGCCAAUGGCACUGCCCGGUAGCUAAAUGCGGAAGAGAUAAGUGCUGAAAGCAUCUAAGCACGAAACUUGCCCCGAGAUGAGUUCUCCCUGAGACUUAAAGUCUCCUGAAGGAACGUUGAAGACGACGACGUUGAUAGGCCGGGUGUGUAAGCGCAGCGAUGCGUUGAGCUAACCGGUACUAAUGAACCGUGAGGCUUAACCUUACA